UUUUUUUUUUUGUAUUUUUUUGGGGGGAUGAAGGGAUGGUUUUUGUUUUGGUCUGGGUUAAUAAAUGCUUUUUAACAUCAAAUCACAUAAAAUAAUAGAGGAAGAAAUCGAGAGAUUCACCUUCAGUUUCAGCCCAAGUUUCAAGCAAUGCAUCUUUUAGUUCCUUUGGUUUCCUUUUUACAUUCUUCUCUUAGUUCUGCUAGGUUGCUACAGAAGAUUUCUGUAUAUGAAAGUCUGUGAUCAUUGCAUGUCAGCGUUGUGCCAUGUUUUACAAUGGAAUUUCAAAGAGAACCCAUGUUUGUGAGAUUUACAGACCAGGGUAUGAGUGUGGUGGGAGGGGGUCACCAAAGUCUCAGUGCCCACUUGAACUUGUGGUUAUUCACUUGUCCUAAACCCUGCUCUAUUUUACUGUUUGCCAGUCAUGACACAAAUGCCCCUCUUGAAAGAGAUUUACUCAUUAGUCCCAGCACUUAAUUUGGAAGUCUUACUCUCCUAGUACAAAAUGAAGCAGAAACUAAAAGUGGCCUUAAAUACUUCAUAGGUUACUUAAAAUUUUUACAAAAUAUCCCACUUAAUGCCAAACCUCCCAGUGUUCAAAGACAGUGAAGUCUUAAUUGUCAUGCUUUAAACAUGCCUUAAAAUUAUGCCACCAAAAUACUACAAUUCACAGCUUCACCAGACUGCAGUGCCAUCAAGUUAAUUUAUAGUCUUUACAACAUUGCUUGCGCAGUCUUACUGGUUUACAUUAAAAUCCUUUAAGCCAAAAGGAAGCUCGCUCAAUGGAUUUAAAUGCAAACUUCAUUUACCGGUGCAGGAAGUCUCAUAAAACUCAGAUGCACUCUCACAAAAAUUUUAUUGGCCUUUUUGUAAGAGAUGAAAAGGAAUUGACAACAGUUCUCUUUAAAGAGGGGAACUUUUUCUCUUUUUUAUUAUUUUUAUCUCCAACUGCAGAGGUGUUAUCCUUUGCCGUGGUCCCUGUAUUUUUCUUCCAGUUGGCUUGGAGAAGGAAUAUUAAAUCACUGAAACAGGGUUCUCUUUGGAUAAAAAAAAAAAAAAAAAGCUCUGGAUUUAUUGCAAUGAUUUUCCUUGAGAAAAAAAAAAUAUUUCUCAACAUCAGGAUUGAUAAGCAGAAUGUUAAAAUGUUGUGAUUGGUUUUCGAUAGUAUUCUCUAUUUGCCAAACUUCUGGCAAACUUACCUGUGAAAUUCAAAUCAUCAAAUCUUUUGAUAUGCUUUCAUUGUUUCCUCUUAGCUGUUUUCUCUUUGAUUUCUUAGUCUCUCUGCCCUCAAAUGUGUUGAAUGAUAUAGCUAUCAGAUGUAUCUAAGGUAAUGUUUUCUAAGGUCUCUGUUCCAACUCUGUGAAGGUCACAGGAAUCAGGAAGGAGCUGAGAAUCGUGCCUCUCUGGCCCAUUCUGUGGCCCAUUUUCAUUAUGUUUCCUCAUGAAACAUUGCAAAGUUUGAAUCCUUAGUAAUUCCCAUUGACUGGACUAGAGGUGACAGCCUUGACAAAUGGGAGAACAAUUUGUUGGCCUACAGAUGGUGACAAAAUUUUAUUAGCCCUUUGGUGUUUGUUGCCCUAGCGCUGUAUUUGAAAAUUGAUGCUUUAGCCAAAAGCUGAAUGGCCACCGUUUCUGUAGUUUCCACUGUUUUGUCUGCAUAGAAUUUUCCUGAACUAACAAGCAAAAACGUAUUUUGUCAAAUGUCACAAAAGUGAAAAUGUUACUAAUUUUAGACGUGUUGCAUAUUUUGUGUUUUUCCUUUCCAAACUCUUUUAAAAAGCUGCAGUUUCAAAGCUGUUUGGCUGUAUUGACAGCAUGUGGUGUUUUUUGCAAAAGCAAUUCUAGGAGAGCCAGUGUCUACCAUGGACUCCUCACAUCCCCACUGCAGGGUCAUCAACAAAAUCAAAAUGGCAAUUUGUAUGCUGUAAUUUUUCAAAAGAUAAAAGGGGAUGGAAACCAGACCUGGCUGUUAGUCACUAGUGUGUAGUACUGUGAUCUGAAGUAGGAAAUUUAACUCACAUAGAAUAAUUGUGGUUUUUGAAGCAGCUACUCAUUGCUUUUUCCUUUUGCUGUGAAGAUCAUGGACUUGGAAUGUCCUCAUGAGGUGGGCCUAAGACAGUAACAUUUAAACUUCAUGUCUUCAAACCCACCCUCCAUCUGAAUCCAAAGACAAAAAAAAAGACAGUAAGCUUCAUGGUUAGGCCUAAGCUUAAAAUUUCCUUCCCACCUCUAAUACUGAUUUGAUCAAGGGUUAUAUCCUUUCUUUUUUCCCAAAAAGUUUUAGCUUUGAAUUGCAGAAUAUAUCACUGAAUUUAGUAAUGUAGUUCUCUGUGUGAAUAGAAACAGGUAUCAAAAUUCUUUUACAAAAGGCAUAAUUACAAUGAAAACACCCUUUGGUCUCAAACUUUGCUGAACACUCAAAAAGUGUUUCACUUUUCUCAAGCAUUAUUUACACCCAAAUUCCAAAAUUGGACAAAGGAUGCAGUUUCCUUAAAAUGUAAACUCUAUAGUAGAGAUUUAAUUGUGGUUCUGGUGAAUCAUAAAAGGAGAGAUAAUAUUUGAAGAAGUUCAUAAGCAGAAUAUCAUUCCUCCUGACCCCUUCACUGAGACAUAGGCAUUACAAUCAGAAUUGGACUUAAUAGCCCCAGUGUUCCUCCUUAGCAAUCUCUGAUGGUGCUGAGGAGGGACCACCAGGAUGCAGCCAUCUAAGCCUCAUUAGAGAGUCCCUGAGCGUGAUCAAUCAGAAAUACUCCUUGAGGCUUAUUCUGGAUGUAGCCUGCUCUCAUUUGAAACUUCUCCCUAAGAAAUUGGGGAAACACUCAUACUGUCAGAAUUUUUGGUCAGAAAAGCAAUUUUCUCCUUUUCUUAACUGGAAUAAAGACUUAGAAUUCCCAUUGUUCCUAAUUGUAUCUGAUUGAUACACACGUUCCAUUAAGUCUUGACCUAGAAAUAUUGCAAACAUAAGCAGGUAGAGGGAAACUGGCCUCUCCUAAACCCAACUCGAAAACACAUCAGUAGUUGUUUACCUCCAUUUCUGUAUGGAAGAAUUUAAAACAGAUUUCAUUUUGUUCUGUUUAUUUUGGGAAGGUACAUGGGGGUGUUCUUCCCAGUGAUUCAUAUCUCAAACCCAUACCACUCUCAACUUUUAUUUGAUGUGUUCAAAGCCAAAAAAAAAAAAAAUAAUAAAAAGCAGGGCUGAACACUUAAUUUGACAUGAAGCUGAAGGAGUGGGCAAGGCAGAGGAGAAAGUCUGAAGAAAGCAUGGCCUUGGCUUCAUACCACACUUUUUGUGCCUUGUAUUAUCAAUGUAAAUUCUGAAUGUUGUACAGUAAAUACGGAUGGACUUCUUAGAGAAGGCUGCACCGGCUUCUUUUUCAGCACAUGUACAUAUCUAUAAAUAUAUAUACAUAUAUAUUUGGUAAUGCCAAACAGCUGUGUUAUAUUGUACUGAACAAAAUGGACAGUUUGGAUGUUUUAUGUAGAGUUUGCAAAAAAAAAAAAAAAAAAAAACCUGGAUGGUUACAGACUUUUCGAGAUAAAUGUACAGACGUAAAUUACUGCAUAUCAGUUAUUUAUGAAUAAAGAGUCUUUUAUUGACAUUUUAGGAUACUCCAUGAGUGGAACUUUGAAAUCUCAACAAGGACCCUCUUAUAUAUCUCCCUUCACAUGCAAUCAGGAAUUGGAAUGCUAGCUACAGGGACAAUUUCUACAUACUUGUUGACAUAGUGACCCUAAUUUCUCACUCUGGCCUCAAGAGGGAGGCUACUGAAAGCAAAGAUGAUCUUCUAACAUUCUCAUCCCACCUAAAGACACACACACAUACUUUUCCUUAUGAUAUAAUUCUAUAUACUUCAAGGUUAUUAUAGGCCACAGCAAAACGGAUAUCUUUCACCUUACUCCUCAAAUGGGUUAUUUUUACAGACUGUAUCACUUUGCCUCUCUAUGGGAAAAUAUUAGGAAAGUAAGUAAUUACAAUGUUGUAUGUUUCCAAUACAUUCUGACUGCCUGAAUCUGUUUUAAAUGUUUUAUUUUUUUAAGUGC
rnacentral:lncRNA from 1 species